UACGUAGGUGGCAAGCGUUGUCCGGAAUUACUGGGUGUAAAGGGAGCGCAGGCGGGAAGCCAAGUCAGCUGUGAAAACUACGGGCAUAACUUGUAGACUGCAGUUGAAACUGGUUUUCUUGAGUGAAGUAGAGGUUGGCGGAAUUCCGAGUGUAGCGGUGAAAUGCGUAGAUAUUCGGAGGAACACCGGUGGCGAAGGCGGCCAACUGGGCUUUAACUGACGCUGAGGCUCGAAAGUGUGGGGAGCAAACAGG
rnacentral:rRNA from 1 species